UUCAUUGUCCUCCUUAUUGCUGUGACCACUUCCCUGGGGAGCCUCUUACAGUGCCCAAGCACUCUCUAAGUGAAGAACCUUUUACAAAUGUCCAAUUUGAACUCCUUAUGCAGGGAUGGGAGAUCUAAUAACCUACAACUACUAGAUUACAUUAGAUUACAAAGACGAUGGAUCCAAACUCAUCCUAAUGGAUGUGACAAAUGAUGCAACAAGGAACACGGGCCAUAAAUUGCAGCUUGAGAAGUUGUGUAUCCUCCAUCCUUUAAAAAUUUUGAGAUUUGCCUGACAAAAC